UGAUUUUAGGAGACAAUGUGUUAAAACAGCUUUUACUGGAUGUGUUUAUCUGCAACCACCAUGGGUUCUGGAACAUUGAGCUCCAUCUAUUAAAUAUUUUAUUUUAUUUCCAUGGUUGCAAAUAAAAACUAUUUAUCUCUCAUCCACACAUUAACUCUGCCAAUUCUUCUGAUUCCCUAAGACUCUCACAUAGCAGUGUGGGGAGUGUGUGUGUGUGUGUGUUCUUUUAUUGUUGUUGCUGUGGCUUCAUUGCUGUGAGUCAACUUUUUCAGAUAUAUAGAGAAAGACAGACAGAGAGACAGAGGGAAAGAGGGAAAGACAACUCAGUGCAGAGGCAUCUUCCAGUGGGGUGGGGGCAGGGAUCUAACGCGAUGGUGAUGGUGCUCAUGACAAAGCAGGCGCACUCUCCAGGGUCACAAGAGUAAUAUAUCAGAAGGAACUGAUUGCCAGAAGCUAAGUGACCCCCAGUUACAAUUCAGUCUGUACUGAAAUUCACUCAGGACUGGAGGUUGGAAAGGAAAUAAGCAUCAGUGUGAAGUUUUGUAUCCAGGUGGAAAGCUGCGGUCACAACCACUUCUCAGAUCAUUUGUACAAGAUCAUGUGAUUUCAAACACAUGGGCCCUAAACUCCAGAAGAAUAAUUGACCCAGAUAGAUAUCAGGAAAAAAAAAAAGACACUUCUUCAGGUCAGAAAAAUUAAUCGGACUAAACAUUCUUAAAGGAAUCAUUUAAUUCUUGAGAAUUGUAGCAAUCCAAAUGUAACAUGAAAGAUAUAUUUUAUAGGAAGAAAUGAGGCCCAGUGAAAAUUUGGCUGUAUAAUUUGUAUAAAUGGAUUAUUUCCCUCACAUCCUUUAGGUAAAUUGAAAUUGAGUCUAAACUCACCAGUAUUUCUCCAUUUUUAUCAGGCUUGGAAGAGGAGGGGCAUGAGAUCUCUAUUCUGAUUAUGUGAAUUCUUGUACUUCUUGAUUGUGCUAAUUGUAAAAGUGAUAUAUUUAUUUUAAAACUUUUAUUUUUUUAUCAGAGAGAGAGAAAGA